GACGGGUGAGUAACACGUGGGUAACCUACCUAUAAGACUGGGAUAACUCCGGGAAACCGGGGCUAAUACCGGAUAAUAUUUUGAACCGCAUGGUUCGAUAGUGAAAGACGGUUUCGGCUGUCACUUAUAGAUGGACCCGCGCCGUAUUAGCUAGUUGGUAAGGUAACGGCUUACCAAGGCGACGAUACGUAGCCGACCUGAGAGGGUGAUCGGCCACACUGGAACUGAGACACGGUCCAGACUCCUACGGGAGGCAGCAGUAGGGAAUCUUCCGCAAUGGGCGAAAGCCUGACGGAGCAACGCCGCGUGAGUGAUGAAGGUCUUCGGAUCGUAAAACUCUGUUGUUAGGGAAGAACAAAUUUGUUAGUAACUGAACAAGUCUUGACGGUACCUAACCAGAAAGCCACGGCUAACUACGUGCCAGCAGCCGCGGUAAUACGUAGGUGGCAAGCGUUAUCCGGAAUUAUUGGGCGUAAAGCGCGCGUAGGCGGUUUCUUAAGUCUGAUGUGAAAGCCCACGGCUCAACCGUGGAGGGUCAUUGGAAACUGGGAAACUUGAGUGCAGAAGAGGAGAGUGGAAUUCCAUGUGUAGCGGUGAAAUGCGCAGAGAUAUGGAGGAACACCAGUGGCGAAGGCGGCUCUCUGGUCUGUAACUGACGCUGAUGUGCGAAAGCGUGGGGAUCAAACAGGAUUAGAUACCCUGGUAGUCCACGCCGUAAACGAUGAGUGCUAAGUGUUAGGGGGUUUCCG
rnacentral:rRNA from 2 species